rnacentral:lncRNA from 1 species
AUUGCUAAAAAGGUGGGGAAAUGGAUAAUUUCAAAGUGAAAAUCGUCUUGUUUGUCAUAGAUUCUUGAGACGACCGUUAAUGUCAAAUAAGAAGAAUAAGUCUGACCAUGAGGCAGAGGCAGCCGUGUCUGUUGUUUCUUUUAUUUUACCAAUUCUGACAAAGUAUCCAGUUUAACGUCUUCUUGUUUAGCCCCUACUCUGACGUAGUCCUCAAUGGAAUCCAUCAUUAUUUUGAAGUUAUUGUUCCAAAGACAUGACUUUUAUAUUAUGAUUGAAAAAAAUGUUGAUAUGUUAUUUGUACCGCCG